rnacentral:rRNA from 1 species
UACGAAGGGGGCUAGCGUUGUUCGGAAUUACUGGGCGUAAAGCGCACGCAGGCGGAUUUAUAAGUCAGGGGUGAAAUCCCGGGGCUCAACCUCGGAAUUGCCCUUGAUACUGUCUAUCUUGAGUCCGGGAGAGGUGAGUGAAAUUCCUAGUGUAGAGGUGAAAUUCGUAGAUAUUAGGAAGAACACCAGUGGCGAAGGCGGCUCACUGGCCCGGUACUGACGCUCAUGUGCGAAAGCGUGGGGAGCAAACAGG